GCUUGUCUCAAAGAUUAAGCCAUGCAUGUCUAAGUAUAAGCAACUAUACGGUGAAACUGCGAAUGGCUCAUUAAAUCAGUUAUCGUUUAUUUGAUAGUACCUUACUACUUGGAUAACCGUGGUAAUUCUAGAGCUAAUACAUGCUAAAAACCCCAACUUCGGAAGGGGUGUAUUUAUUAGAUAAAAAACCAACGCCCUUCGGGGCUCCUUGGUGAUUCAUAAUAACUAAACGAAUCGCAUGGCCUUGCGCCGGCGAUGGUUCAUUCAAAUUUCUGCCCUAUCAACUUUCGAUGGUAGGAUAGUGGCCUACCAUGGUAUCAACGGGUAACGGGGAAUUAGGGUUCUAUUCCGGAGAGGGAGCCUGAGAAACGGCUACCACAUCCAAGGAAGGCAGCAGG
rnacentral:rRNA from 1 species